UACAGCCCUGCAUCAGUGUGCAAAUAAUGAAUUUUCACAUAAGAGAAGUGUGUUCCAAGAAAAAGGUAACAAAAAAGCUUUUCGUUUCGGUGUAUGCUUUGAUUGCUUCAGUUUCGGCUUUGGAGAAAUGUUGACUUACUGUUGGCUCCGACCUGUCGUGCUUCGGGGUCAAGACUCCCAUAUAAAUAUGUAUCAAGAUCCGGGAUCAAAACUCCUGCCUAUAUGAAGCUACCUGACUGGCACGAUCAAGCAUGGACAAUCAGUCUCGGCGUUGGUGGACUCUGUCAUGCGAGGACCGGUGGUCUACUGCACCACUGAGCUCCGGGAUCAUAGCAAAACUCCAAGCGAGGGAGUGGUAAUGCUGGAUCAAAGGGCUGGGACUGGCACAACACCAUGGGUCAACAAGCGCCAACAACAGCGUGGAGUCUAUUGGGGGGACUAUGUUUCAUGAAGCCAUUAGAAGACUGUUGCUCACUGAGAGGAGUCAGGCAACAACCCAUACUGUACUGGUGGUAGGUAGCCCAGAGGCUAAGGAUUUGGACCUGUGGCAGGAGAUGGACCUGUGUCCGGUUUGAAUUCCGGGCCGGGCACUGGAAAAACGGGCAGAAUUGAUCUGACAACUGGAGGGCUGCUGGGUUCACAUCCUCAAAACAUUCCCCUACUGUUGGGCCCUUGACCAAAGCCCUUAACCCCAUAACAUGCUCUCCAUCCAGGUGUGCUGCACUGCAGCUUGAACCUGUGCUCAACUGUAUGUGUGAGGUCUGCUGUUUGGGGGGUUGAGCACAGAGCAGAAGACACAUUUUUGUUGUUUGCUGUAACUAACAGAGAAAGUUGUAUUGUAAAGAAGUCAGCCAGAGUUGACAUGGUCCACCGUUCAAGCAAAUAGAUGCCUCCCUGGCCACCAGUGCAUAUUUCCAAACUAUGUUUGCAUAUAAUAACAAUA